UACGAAGGUGGCUAGCGUUACUCGGAAUCACUGGGCGUAAAGCGCACGUAGGCGGUUUGCUAAGUCAGGGGUGAAAUCCUGGAGCUCAACUCCAGAACUGCCUUUGAUACUGGCGAUCUUGAGUCCGGGAGAGGUGAGUGGAACUGCGAGUGUAGAGGUGAAAUUCGUAGAUAUUCGCAAGAACACCAGUGGCGAAGGCGGCUCACUGGCCCGGUACUGACGCUGAGGUGCGAAAGCGUGGGGAGCAAACAGG
rnacentral:rRNA from 1 species